rnacentral:rRNA from 1 species
GACGAACGCUGGCGGCGUGCCUAAUACAUGCAAGUCGAGCGAACAGACGAGGAGCUUGCUCCUCUGACGUUAGCGGCGGACGGGUGAGUAACACGUGGAUAACCUACCUAUAAGACUGGGAUAACUUCGGGAAACCGGAGCUAAUACCGGAUAAUAUAUUGAACCGCAUGGUUCAAUAGUGAAAGACGGUUUUGCUGUCACUUAUAGAUGGAUCCGCGCCGCAUUAGCUAGUUGGUAAGGUAACGGCUUACCAAGGCGACGAUGCGUAGCCGACCUGAGGGGUCGAUCGGCCACACUGGAAGUGAGACACUGUCCAGACACCUACGGGAGGCCGCAGUAGGGCAUCUUGCGCAAUGGGCGAAAGCAUGACGGAGCAACGCCGCGUCAGUGAUGAAGGUCUUCGGAUCGUAAAACUCUGUUAUUAGGGAAGAACAAAUGUGUAAGUAACUAUGCACGUCUUGACGGUACCUAAUCAGAAAGCCACGGCUAACUACGUG